rnacentral:misc_RNA from 1 species
CAACACUCAAGCUCAGCUUGGCGUUGGGGCUAUUACAGCUUUAAUGCUGUAAAGCCCUCAAAACCAGUGGCAGGGACCACUACGGGACCCGGGCGAAGUAGAAAUUACAGCGCCUAAGGGAUACCAAGCUGGCCUCUAGCCAUAAAACAAUAUUCUCAUUUUGAGGGUAUUAUUUUUCAAG